CCCAGCCAGGUUUGUGCCACGCAGCAUUCCUUAUAUCUUCUCUGGUCUGGAGAUCUUUGUAAGCUGGCAAGAGACAACAGCGAGCACAAAGCUUCCUGAUCUUGCUCUCCGUACCACGUGUUCCAAGUCCCCACCAGUGCACAUGGGUAGUGUUUUUCUUCAUGAAUCUUUGGCAGCACCUCUUGACUUGAAAACAAGGAAUACAGACACUAUGUUGCAUUUCCUUCAGGGAGGCUACAGUUGAUAUGUAUAACAAAUCACCACACGUUUAUUAUUAUGGUACGAAAAUUCACAAGCUCUACGUUUCAGAAGAGAAAGCUGAAAUACAAGAAUCUGCUUCGCGAGGGGAAAGAUAGCUACAGCUCUAUAUAAAAAUAAGAAAAGCAAUUCACACCAGCAGCACUCCUCAACAAUCAGCAUUCGAAAACUAAUGAACUGGGAUACCCUGUGGAAGCAGAACGGAUGAACUGAAGUAUUUUAUAGCAGAG